ACCAAUCAGCGUGCGUCAUCAGACCGGAUCAGCCAAUCAGAGGCGGCCGUGUCCCGUGUGGGACAGGGAAGCUCCAUUCACAGCCGGGACCAUUUUGGGGCAGAAAACCCCAUUUUUGGGGCAAAAUCCGUAUUUUUGACCCCAAAAUUCCCAUUUUUGGACCCAAAUUCCCCUAUUUUGGGCCUAAAUCCCCAUUUUGCCCCCCAAAAAAUCACCAUUUUUGACCCCAAACACCCAAUUUAUGCCCCAAAACUCCUAUUUUUGACCCCAAAUCUCUAUUUUAAAUGCCUAAAAACCCCCUUUUUGACCCCAAAAUCCCCAUUUUUAGCCUUAAAUCCCCCAUUAUGGAGCCCCAAAUCCCCCAUUUCUGACCCCAAAAUCCCCCUUUUUGCCUCCAAAUCCCCAUUUCUGACCCUAAAACCCUCAUUUUUANNNNNNNNNNNNNNNNNNNNNNNNNNNNNNNNNNNNNNNNNNNNNNNNAAAUCCCCAUUUUUUGCCCCAAAUCUCCCAUUUUUGACCCCUAAAUCCCCAUUUUUUGCCCCAAAUCUCCCAUUUUUGACCCCAAAAUCCCCGUUUUUUGCCCCAAAUCUCCAUUUUAAACCCCCCAAAUCCCCAUUUUUUGCUCCCAAAAGUCCCUUUUUUGGGCCCAAAUCCUCAAUUGUAGGCCCCAAAUCUCCCAUUUUUGGCCCCAAAUCUCCAUUUUUAUCCCCCAAAAUCCCCAUUUCUGACCCCAAACCCCCCAUUUUUUGUCCCAAAAUCCCCAUUUUUGACCCCAAAUUGCCCAUUUUUAGGGCCUUUUUGCCCCAAAAAUGACACUUUUCCCUCUCCAAGCCGUUUUAUUGCAGCUCCCUUCAAUGCUUCUUACUGGCAGCCGCAACCUGCAAAAGAACCCAAAAAGACCCUAAAUGAGCCCAAAUGGACCCAAAAUGACCCUAAAUGAGCCCAAAAGGAAUCCAAAAUCCCAUAAUGACCCCAAAAAGACCCCAAAGGACCCCAAAAUAACCCCAAAAAAGCCCAAAAUGACGCCAAAAAGCCCCAAAUCUGCCCCCAAAAUAACCCUAAAGUCCCAAAAUGACCCCAAAGCCCCAAAAGACCCCAAAAUUGACCCCAAAUCCCCCAAAAUUGACCCAAAAUCCCCCAAAAUUGACCCAAAAUCCCCCAAAAUUGACCCAAAAUCCCCCAAAA
rnacentral:lncRNA from 1 species